UGAAAGUUUUUCACAAGUUCA
rnacentral:piRNA from 1 species